rnacentral:rRNA from 1 species
AUGCUGCUUCAUAAAGAUCAACCUCAGCAAAUGUUUAUCUCCAUACUUGGGGAGAGUGGUGUCAGAAAGAAAACACUGUUAUGUACUAUCAUCGGACAUACUGAUGCGAUUUAUGAGUUUGAAAUUGUAGUUUGGUUCAACAUGCCGGCAGAUUACACCACAGAAGAUCUCCAAGAAAUCUACGAUAGAGCAUGUGAAAGUGCACCACAACAUCAUCUGAAUGAAGGCAUUAAUAUCGCUGAUAAGCUCCGACACCUCCUGAAGAAAAAGAGGUAUUUGGUGAUUAUCAGAGGCAUAUGCUCCAAAACCAUUCUCAACUGUGUGAGGGUGAGCCUACCAGAUGACAAUAAUGGUAGCCGUAUUGUGCUCGUGUUGGACACUGAGAGCGAAGAAGUAGCAUGGCAUGCUAACACCAUGAACAAAGAUGGCAUAAAUGGAAUCCACAUGUUGGGCCGUUUGGAUGAAAAAAGAAGUGGGCAAUUGUUCUGUUCGAGGGCCUUGAGGAAAGAAUUGUCCGAUGUGAAGGAAAACAGGGAAAUGAGCAAAUACAGCAAAAUUGUGUAUGAUAUAACUGGGGCUACCCUCUGGCUAUAG